rnacentral:lncRNA from 1 species
GCGUGUGGGUGUGUGCGCGCGUGUGUGCGUGUGGGUGUGUGCGCGCGUGUGUGCGUGUGGGUGUGCGCGUGUGUGUGUGUGCGCGUGAUUGCGUGUAUCCCUCACCCGCUCCAGUCCCUCACCUUGUACCUCCAUUCGCUGGCCCCGUUGCUGAGCACUUAGGCCACCGCCCAAAUCCACAAGAAUGCCCGAUGACAUCUCAGCACCCGUGUGACCCACUACCGCCAUCAUCGUCAUGAUGGUCAUCGUCCUUGUCAUCGCCAUCUUCAUCUUCACCAUCAUCUUCAUUGUUACCCGUCUGCAUCCAGUCCGGAACCUGAGCUGCAGGCUCCAUCCUGUAAGGGGAGGCUGACUCUGGAAGUCUCUGAGGGCCUGGCAGGCUCACCAUCCACUGUUCACGACCAGCACAAAGGCCAGGACCCAAGGCUGGAGCACCCAGCGCGAGCGGCAGCUGCACUGGCGGCCCCUGUGGGCUAGGCCCCUCAGCCAGGCUGGAGCCACACACAGAUUCACAGUCCCACUGACUACCUCGGGCACAGGGGGGAGGCAGGGACCUUGGGCGGCACCGUGUGUGUCUUCUCGUGUGCAUGCUGUGCGAGGGCGCUGUUUCCUCUGACCGGACUCUCGGCUCCAGGAAGGAAGGACUCCUCAUUGCUGGGCCUGUGCUGCCCUGAGGACAGAGAGUCUCUGUCACCAUGAUGCUCACGCCCUGGCUGGGAAAUGACAACAAACUCUGAACAGGAAAAUGCCAGGGCACAGUCUGGACCAGAAAUCAAGACAGAGUCGGAGUGGCCUGAGGCGAAGGCAAGGGCUGCCCCUGGGGAGCGAGGAGCUGCCUGGAGACAAAGCUGGCAGGAGACUUGAAGCUCCAAGUUCCAGCCUCGCCGCAUUAGUGACUUGCAUUUUGGACCCUGUGCUUCUCGGUGAGGAAGGAGAAUGUGGCCCUGUUAGGAGGCAUGGACCGACUGGACGACUGACCCAGCCCUUUCCUGAGCCCCAUCAUAACUCAUGUCUGGGCCCCAGCGGCCUCCAGAGGGGCUGCUCCUCACCUUCAUCUGUGCCCCAGCCUGGGGCAAAGCAACGUGCUUUGGCACUGCAGUCAGGCUUAAGGUCAAAGAGAAGGGCUCUUGAGAGCAGAUUCACUUUCAGGCCUCAUCCCGCUGACGGCCGAGGCCGCUGACCAGUGGGGCAAUGCCGAGUGAGCGGCUCCUAGCCUGGCAGGGCCACCUGGCC